CAACACUAUGGCUAACUCAAUUAAAGACGAGUAGAGAAUCUUGAUUGCUUUAUAGAUUUUAUGUACAUAUAACUUGAAAAUGUAUGUCUAUUAACUUUCUUAACACAUAUGUAUGUAUCGUGGCGGACCGAAGGGGUGGCGAAGGGAGGUUAGGGCCCCUUCUAAGCUUCAAAUUUUGUUUAUAGUUCUAUUACACAUGACACUUAAAUUUGGGUGUUAUUAGGAAUUGGCCCCCAAAGAAGCAAAGAGCCGUCAAUUGUCCCAGUUAAGAUUCUAAUAUCUCUUUGUGUAGUUUGUUAUAUGCGUCUUUGAUUUGGAUAUGGCUUUCUAGAGGUGGAUGGUUAAACAUUGUUUUUGGAGGAAGAGACUUGUCAAUGUAUAUAUUUAGGCUUUUGUGAAAUACUUUUGAUAUUGAUAGAGGUUGUAUCUAUAGCAAGUAACUUUAUUUUAGCUUGAAGAAUUAUGAAUAUUUAACUGUAAAGAUUUAAUUGGGUUUGUGUCUUUGUUCAUCUUCACUUGGCCCUUGAGAAAUUACAUGCUUUUGAAUUAUUUUUUUAUUUGGUUAUGUAAGGUGCUUUAAUGGCAGUUCCUCUCACUUACAGUUUUCAUAUUUUGAAAGACUCUUGUGGUGCUUUUGUUCUUUCCCACAUGUUCUUUCAUAUCAGCUGACUCUUUUCACAUGUGAGGAGAAAUUUGAUGGAAGUGAAGGUUCCGACGAUGAUUUAAGGCCAACAAAUGGACAUGGAUGAUUAGCCCCUUCACCAAAAGUGACUAGUGACCAUUUUUUUAUAUUUUUUAUAGACGUGAUGUAAUUUGGAUGGCUUCUUUAUGGAGGAUGUUAUGUGGAUGUAAAUUUGAUUUUGGUAAUCCAUGUAUGUGUAGAUUAUUGAUGCGUAAGGUUGUAAAUUUGAUUUUGGAUGCCAAACUAUUCGGCACAAAAUGCAUUCAUAUUGCAAGAGUACAGAGCAAUUGAUUGUGUACCAUUGCCAGCCAAGUUUAAACAAUACAAAUUUACUCCAA